GACGAACGCUGGCGGCGUGCUUAACACAUGCAAGUCGAACGGAAAGGCCCUGCUUUUGUGGGGUGCUCGAGUGGCGAAGGGGGGAGUAACACGUGAGUAACCCGCCCUUGACUUUGGGAUAACUUCAGGAAACUGGGGCUAAUACCGGAUAGGAGCUUCUGCUGCGUGGGGGGGGUUGGAAAGUUUCGGCGUUGGGGGAAGUACUCGCGGCUUAUCAGCUUGUUGGUGGGGUCGUGGCUUACCACGGCUUUGACGGGUAGCCGGCCUGAGAGGGUGGCCGGCCACUUUGGACCUCAGAUACGGCCCAGACUCCUACGGGAGGCACCAGUGGGGAAUAUUGCACAGUGGGAGGAAGCCUGAUGCAGCAACGCCGCGUGCGGGUUGACGGCCUUCGGGUUGUAAACCGCUUUCGCCUGUGACGAAGCGUGAGUGACGGUAAUGCGUAAAGAAGCACCGGCUAACUACGUG
rnacentral:rRNA from 1 species